AACACUUUUAACACACACAACACCUAAAACACACACUAAACUCACGCAUAACACCAUUGUUGAGGAGUUGGAGCUUUUGACCUCCGAUUUGAGCACCGAGACGAGCGUCGAUCAUCUUUUCGAUCACGUAUCUAAGUAGGUCCUUUUGGGAAGUAACGACUUGAGGGAGAGAGUGACGUUACUCAUUGAUACAGAGACACAACGAGGUUGAGCUGAUGUGAUGAUGGUGCUGCAAUGAGCGGAGUCUCCAGGGUUGUUAAUAAAUAGUUAACCUGUCUAGAAUAUGUCUUCAUACAUAUGUCUAGCUACUUUCCGCUGCAAGAUGUUGUUGAUGUUAUAGUAUGUUAUGUCAUACUUUGAGUCUUAAGAGAAUGGUUUCAUACGAUGUAUAACUUGAUUAAUGAUAUUAAUUAAGUUUUAUGCUGUCUUUCAUAGACUGUUUUCAAUUGAGUAUUAAUGAAUAAAAAUGACGAGUUUUAUUAA